GAUUCAGAAGGUCUAGAUGAGGGCUACAGGGUUCUGAAUUUUCAGGUGAUUCUGAUGCAGGUGGCCCAAGGACUGUACUUAAAGAAACCUUUUAGGACCAGCAGUCCUAGGAAGCCAGAGACGGGAUGGUCCAGAGUCUCCUGGGAGCUAUUGCAAAUCCAUAUGCCUGAAUGCCACACCAAACUCAAAGAAUCAGGAGCUCUGGAGGAAGAAGACCUGAAUAUGUGUUUCUGGAAAGAACUGCUGAAGUUUUCUGCAACACUCCCUGACCUUGCUGUGUUCUGGAAUUGUGAUUUGACGCCUGUGUUGGGUGAAACCCCAGGAAUUCAGGCCUUUUGUAUGGCCAAAUCGGUAGGGGCCUCCUUUUAGCCCUCUUACUAAAGCUCUACUCAUAUUGCUUUUUUAAAAAAUGGGACUCCAAAUAAUGCUUGUUUGCUUGUUUUUGGUAUACUGAGGAGAGAGCAUUCUGGGGAAAAAAUAGAAAAAGGAAGAAAAAUUAUUUUAAAACCACAACCGUAGAAUUAAUAUCAGAGAUUUCACUAAGGCCAUAUAGUUCAUUUUUAUCAUUUUGAACCAGCUUUGUAUCCAGCUUCAUUUCCCCUUUCUCCUACAAAAGGUGUGAUAUUGAGGGAGUGUCUUGAAUCAUGAGAAUCUCCGAAUCUAAAUGUUAACAAGUGAUAUUAAUAAACUUAAUUUUAUUGUCACCUAAAAUUCAAAAAGUCACACAUUUCAUUUUAUUAUUAUCUAAAGAUAAUGCUACAGAAAUAAUCAUAAAAAAACAAUAAAUUGACAGUUAAAUCCGUAAGUUAGUUACAACUGAUUUUUCACAAGCUUUCCACUUCCACUCAGCUAUCAGCACCAAGAAAAAGGCUGAUUUAUUCUCUGUAUGCUUCAUAAUGAGCGCAUGGACUGAAUGAACUGAGUGUUCUAUUUAUUCCUGGUUACAAACUGGCAAGGUUGCCAUUGGACCAAGAAAAAUGUUUCUAGUGUUAUUAUUAAUGUCUGUUAAGAACCCAGAGUCUGGAUUGUGACCAUAAAAUUUAUAAUACAAAAUUUAUAGUCUGUCAAACACUGAAAGUCAAAAACUAAAAACAGGAAACGAACUAAAUGUAAAAACGUAGGUGGACUAAGAAUAAGCGUUAACUACUUGCUAGAAAGAUUUUUUUUCUUAUUUAAAAAAUAUUUUUGUUCUGAUAGGGCCAUCUUAAGGUUCAAAAUCAACUAAUUAAAAUGAUUUGUACAGAAAAUGCUUAUACUCACAAUUUCUGAUUUUGCUGCACGUGGAAGAGGGUGAUAACCAAUGAAAUGACUAAAUAAGUUUAAAAGUUAUUUAGAUCACAACUUUGACCCAUUCUGCUCAUCACAUUUGUCUUUAACAGAGCCUCCAGGCGGCAAACAUGACCUAUGUACACUUUAUUCUUUUCUCUCUUGCUAAGCAGUCGAAAAAAUCCCAGGGAGAUAGCUCAAAGUUAAACUCAAGAUGGAGAAGAAACAUUGUAAUAUGUAUUGUGGCUGAGGAAAAAAAAGUUUAAAAAACAUUUUCAAUAUUAUCUUUGCACAAUCAUCUAUUUAACAAACAUUGAUUGAGUACCUUCCACUCCUAGGCAUUGGGGAUGUAAAAAUGAGGCCAUUGUUUGUCAUCUAGGAGAGAGGUUUCAGUCCCAUAGUAGUGGCCCAUUAUUGAGCUGUGAAAUCAAUAUAAUAGGUUGUGACCACCAUUUUUUUUUUCAAAAACAGAUCAGAGUAGAAAAUAUUAAAGCAUGCCACUCAUAAUAAGGGAAUAUAUUAUUUCUCGGAGCUGUGUUUCAGUCUGCAUCUGUGUAAAUGUGAGCACGUGUGUGUGUGUUCCAGAUCACAAUGUAAAAAUGUAUUUUAAUGAUAGCUGCAUUAAAAAAGUUUGAAAGCAUCUGUUAAAGAGUCUACCAGACAUGAGAAUCGCUUGAACCAGGGAGCCGGAGGUUGCAGUAAGCAGAAAUCAUGCCGCUGCACUCCAGCCUGGGGGACAGAGCAAGACUCCAUUCCUCUCACCCCUAAAAAAUAGUCUGCCAGAGAAGUAGACAAUUAAAUAUAGAAUUAAAACAAAAUGUGACAGGUGUUUUUUUUAGAGAUGUGGAAAAGUAACCCUAAAAUCUAAAGAGAAAGAGUGGCUACCUCUGCCAGGAGUGGAAAUGACCACUGAGGGACAGUCUUGAUAUUCAAACUAGGUCCAAAAUGAUGAAAUUUGAGAUAGAGAGGGAGACUUGACAGGACAUUCCAGGCAGAAGGAACCAAUUGUGUGGGGAGUUCUGAAAGGGAACACUGUGUUUACACAGGGGUGAGAAUGUGGGGGUGGGGAGGAUAAGAUUUAUGGGGGCAAUGCGAGGGGAAUGGUAUGUGACAAAGAGAAGUGCAUAUGCAACAAGCUUGUCACUGAGGAGAAGAAUGACAAUGAUGGGCAUAGUUUGCUUUGCUUUGUUUUCUUAUUUUUGAGAAAGUAACAUUGUCACCAAGACUGCCUGGAAGAGAAAGAGAGACAAGUGAGAAGAUUCUUGCCAUUCAUUCAGGCUAAUGCUGAUGAGAAUUGAGCAUAGUAAAGGUGGAGAGGAGGAGAUGUCACAUUUGGAAAGCAAUUCUAACAGAAUCCACAUGAUUUCAAGUCUAAUUAUGCAUAUAUUCUGAGUUAUCAAUGAUUCAAGUGAUCCUAUUAUUGCAAGACUACAAAGACAACAGCAUCAGAAGGUUUUCAGUUCUGGAAAAUCUAUGCAAAAUAGAAGUUAGCAGAUGGAUCAAGAAACCCACAGAACAAUGUUUGUGUUGAAGAAUUCUCAGCAAGUGCCCUGUGAGAGUGCUCCCAUCUGGAAAGGACUGCAGCUGUCUUUUGGCAUUAACUAGAUGGGUGUUUGUAACAGGUUCAUGUCAACUCUUUCAUAGAAAAUCAACUCCUAAAAUCAUUGUAAAAUUAAAGAGUUAUUUUAAUGAAUUUCUCCAUCCUGUAUUAAUUCAGGCACAUAACUCCAUUUUGAAUUUAAAGUGGCCUUGGCCAUUUUGUCAAUUAUCAUCUUUGCCUUGGUAGAUGAAGAAACACAUUCUGCUGGUCAGAGAGUGAGGCUGGUUAGAGUGGACCUGCCAAAAGAGUUGUACAACCAUCAUCACUACCAAUAUUAAAGUAUUUUCAUCACCCCAGAGAGAAACACGAUAUACCAAUUAGCAAUGACUCUUCAUUUUUCUCCAACCUCUCUCCCAUCAGACCUAGUUCAAACCCAGAUAGAAGGGAAAAAGAAAAGCAACUUUAUGAGAUCUAUGGAUAUCAGCAUCCCAGAUACAGAACACGGCAGAGAAGAGCAGAUAAUGGAUCUGUACUGGCAAUCAGGAAGUUGGAAUUAAUUGAAGAGUUGGAAACACAGUAGUGAAAUCUACAGAAAUGUGGAAGAUGAAGUAAUGAGAGACUGGAAACCAGGAGAUAAUUGGCAUAGUCAAGGUGGAAUAACUAACGACCUGUACCAAGGCCACAGCAGUUAAAAUCAAAGUCCUUAUGUGAUACAAUCAUUCACAAAGAGCAUCCAGCUCAACCUCUUAUUUUGUGAACAAGAUCUUCAAAGUCAGGGAAGAGUACCUGACUUAGUCCAUGGCACAUUGAACCAAGGCUAGAGCUUGGGUCUCUCCUCAUUUUCAUUCCAGCUUACUUGCCACAAUGGCAAAAUGCCUCAUUUCAUCUUGAUCUUAUUUCACGUAGUGAAAGAAUUGUAAAGCACCCUGAGUUUCCAUAGAAUCCUUCUCUUGGUCUUCUUAGAGACUCCCACUCAAGCCUGAUGGGACUUGCUGAUCAUUUAAUGAAGUACAAACAACUUAGAUGGAGAAUUAAAGGAUGCCCAUGCAGCUAAAAGCUGCUUGUCAUUUCCCAGUGCUUCCAGCCUUAGAAUAACUCUUCAGCGACUGAGUUCAGGUCUAUAAAGCUGCCCUGUACCCAGCCAAUCAUGUAAUUUCACACCAGUCUAGCUCCAUCCAAAAGAGGAAGGCCUGCAAAGGAAUGUCUCCUAGGGGCAUCAAGAGCAGAAAGACCUCUGUUCUUCUAAGAAAUGGACUUGGUGUAACUUGGACCUCUUGUGAGUCAAAGGGUGUGUACCUUCCUUUACAGCACCUCACAUCAGCUUUAGAAUGUUUAUCUGAUCCUCACAGAGAAAAAUAGUAUCUCAACUCCCCCAUAAUGGUAUCACUAGAGUUAAAAACAUUAAUUUGCAUUAAGCAGUUAGAAAAUAGUCAAACUGGCCUGGUGAGGUGGCUCACGCCUGUAAUCCCAGCACUUUGGGAGGCAGAGGCGGGCAUCAGGAUCUCAAGACCAGCCUGGCCAAGAUGGUGAAACCCCGUCUCUACUCAAAAUGCAAAAAUUAGUCAGGCGUGGUGGCAGGCGCCUGUGGUCCUAGCUACUCAGGAGGCUGAGCCAGAGAAUCACUUGAACCCAGGAGGUGGAAGGUUGCAGUAAGCUGAGGUCACGCCACUGCACUCCAGCCUAGGCAACAGAGCGAGACGCUGUCUAAAAAAAAAACCAAAAAAGAAAGAAAAUACUCAAACUGCACCAUAGAGAUUCAAUUGUUCAAUCUAUCUGCCGAGUUUAGAUGUACUCCUUCACUUCAAUUUACUGUGAGAAUAGAUUAAAAUUUCCAAAUUUCCAAUAGACACUCAUCUUUAGAAUCUGAGAAUUUAAAAUUUGAAUUCCCCCAAGUUCACAAGAAUAUUCAGAAUCAUGUUGCUGUGCAUUUUUCAUCACAUUUUCUUUAUGUAAUAGUAAUGAAUCACCAUAACUAUAAAUAUAAAUCACUUUUGCUGUAAUAGGGUUAUACCAAAAGUUUCAAAAACUUUUGUUUAAAAAAAAUAAAUGAAUGUGUUAUUGUGAUUUG